ensembl:misc_RNA Metazoa_SRP Metazoan signal recognition particle RNA
GCCGAGUGUGGAGGCGCACACCUGUAAUCCCAGCUACUCAGGAGGCUGAGGCAGGAGAAUCGCUUGAACCCGGGAGAUGGAGGCUGCAGUGAGUCAAGAUCACACCACUGCACCCAGCCUGGGUGACAGAGUGAGACUCUGUCUCAA